CAGUCGCCGCGGGAAUACGUAGGUGGCAAGCGUUGUCCGGAUUUAUUGGGCGUAAAGCGAGCGCAGGCGGUUUCUUAAGUCUGAUGUGAAAGCCCCCGACUCAACCGGGGAGGGUCAUUGGAAACUGGGAGACUUGAGUGCAGAAGAGGAGAGUGGAAUUCCAUGUGUAGCGGUGAAAUGCGUAGAUAUAUGGAGGAACACCAGUGGCGAAGGCGGCUCUCUGGUCUGUAACUGACGCUGAGGCUCGAAAGCGUGGGGAGCAAACAGGAUUAGAUACCCGAGUAGUCCCUGUCUCUUAUAC
rnacentral:rRNA from 1 species